GUCUGUACGAAGGAGCAGCGUCUGUACGGUUGAGUAUUACAUCAGGUACUGGUGUGCCUUAAAUCCAACAACCAGUACUUAUGUCAUACUACGCCGUGCACGGAUCGCACUAACCGCAUGACCA
rnacentral:pre_miRNA from 15 species